AUUUUUCACAUCUACGAGAAAUAAGGAGAGAGAAGAGCGUGAGCGUCCUUGUCUCCUGCUUAACGGGUUGAGCCCUGGAGUGGGCCAACGCAGUGUGGUAUGGCCCAGACUCGGCGAGGGAUCACUACCCCGAGUUCACCCGCCGGUUCUGGGCCGUGUUUGACCACCCACCAGAAGGCCGGGCAGCGGGUGAACGGCUGUUCCACCUGCGACAGGAGACGAGGAGCGCGCAGGACUUUGCUCUGGAGUUCCGGACCUUUGCUGCUGGGGCGGGGUGGAACGACAUGGCCCUGAUGGACCAUUAUUGUUGUAGCCUCCGGGAGGACGUCCGCCGGGAGCUCGCCUGUCGGGACACUACCCUCUCCCUCGACGAACUCAUCGACAUGUCCAUCCGUCUGGACAAUCUGCUGGCUGCCCGCGGGCGUCCAGAACGGGCCCUGUUGGUUCCACCUCCAGGCCCUCCAGCUCCCAUCCCCAUGGAGCUAGGGGGGGCCGCAUCGAGGGGGACCGGAGGAGGAGGCUCCUCCUGUACCCGGUGUGGUUCGAGAGGACACACUGCCGACCGGUGCUGGAGGAGCUCGUCUGGGAGUCGGGAUGGCAGGCAGAGCACUCCUCGUUCACCCCAGAUCCUCUCUAGCGUUGUCAGGUUGGAUGGGGAGCGUCCCUGCACAGCUAUUUUCAGGUCUCUCCAGAGAUGUUUGAUUGGGUUUAAGUCCGGGCUCUUGCUGAGCCACUCAAAAGACAUUCAGAGACUUGUCCCAAAGCCACUCCUGUGUUGUCUUAGCUGUAUGCUUAGGGUUGUUGUCCUGUUGGAAGGUGAACCUCCGCCCCAGUCUGAGGUCCUGAGCGCUCUGGAGCUGGUUUUCAUCAAGGAUCUCUCUGUACUUUACUCCGUUCAUCUUUCCCUCGAUCCUGACUAGUCUCCCAGUCCCUGCCGCUGAAAAACAUCCCCACAGCAUGAUGCUGCCACCAUCCUGCUUCACCGUAGGGGUGGUGCCAGAUUUCCUCCAGAAGUGACG
rnacentral:lncRNA from 1 species